rnacentral:rRNA from 1 species
GACGAACGCNGGCGGCGUGCUUAACACAUGCAAGUCGAACGAAGAGCGAUGGAAGCUUGCUUCUAUCAAUCUUAGUGGCGAACGGGUGAGUAACGCGUAAUCAACCUGCCCUUCAGAGGGGGACAACAGUUGGAAACGACUGCUAAUACCGCAUACGAUCUAACCUCGGCAUCGAGGAUAGAUGAAAGGUGGCCUCUACAUGUAAGCUAUCACUGAAGGAGGGGAUUGCGUCUGAUUAGCUAGUUGGAGGGGUAACGGCCCACCAAGGCGAUGAUCAGUAGCCGGUCUGAGAGGAUGAACGGCCACAUUGGGACUGAGACACGGCCCAGACUCCUACGGGAGGCAGCAGUGGGGAAUCUUCCGCAAUGGACGAAAGUCUGACGGAGCAACGCCGCGUGAGUGAUGACGGCCUUCGGGUUGUAAAGCUCUGUUAAUCGGGACGAAAGGCCUUCUUGCGAAUAGUAGAAGGAUGANGNAC